GACGAACGCUGGCGGCGUGCCUAACACAUGCAAGUCGAACGGAAAGGCGCUGCGUUUGUGGGGCGCUCGAGUGGCGAACGCGUGAGUAACACGUGAGUAAACUGCCCUUGACUUUGGGAUAACUUCAGGAAACUGCGGCUAAUACCGGAUAUGAUCUCCUGCUGCAUGGGGGGGGUUGGAGAGAUUCGGCCGUUGGGGAUCGACUCGCGGCUUAUCAGCUUGAUGGUGGGGUAGUGGCUUACCAAGGCUUUGACGGGUAGGCGGCCUGAGAGGGGGACCGGCCUCAUUAGGACUGAGAGAGGGCCCAGUAUCCUACCGGCGGCAGCAGGCGGGAAUAUUGCACAGUGGGCGGACGCCUGAUGCAGCGACGCUGCGUGCGGGAUGCCCGCCUUCGGGUUGUGAACCGCUUUCGACUGUGACGAGGAGUGAGUGACGGUACUGGGUAAAAAAGCACCGGCUAACUACGUG
rnacentral:rRNA from 1 species